rnacentral:rRNA from 1 species
GAUGAACGCUAGCUACAGGCUUAACACAUGCAAGUCGAGGGACCGGCGCACGGGUGAGUAACACGUAUCCAACCUUCCCUUUACUCGGGGAUAGCCUUUCGAAAGAAAGAUUAAUACCCGAUAUAAAGGAUGGGGAUGCGUUCCAUUAGGUUGUUGGUGAGGUAACGGCUCACCAAGCAUUCGAUGGAUAGGGGUUCUGAGAGCAAGGUCCCUGACAUUGUAACUGAGACACGGACCAAACUGCGACGGGAGGCAGCAGUGAGGGAGAGUGGUAAAAGGGCGCUGGCCUGAACCAGCCGAGUAGCGUGAAGGAUGAAGGCUUAUGGGGCGUAAACUGCUGUUAUAUAAGAAUAUGUAUUAGAUGAAUAAGGAUCGGCUAGCUCCGUGCCAGCAGCCGCGGUAAUUC